CGGAGAGGAAGGCCAGGGCGCCGCUGCGUGGGCGGGACCAGGCGAUUCAUCGCGCCUGCGCGAAGGGCAAGACUGCGGACUGCGGCGUAACGUUUGAAACGAGUGGCGGGGAAGCGCUGCGGGAUCCGCGGCAGUGGGUGUCUGCACGGUGUAAGGCGCGCCUUCGUCUGUGGGCCGAGCCAUGGCGCUGCAGCUCACCCGGGAGCAGGGUGUUACACUCCGCGGAAGCGCCGAAAUCGUGGCCGAGUUCUUCUCAUUUUAUAUCAGCGUGGCAUAUAUCCAUCUGAAACCUUUACCUGAGUGCAAAAAUAUGAACUCCACCUUGCUUGUGACUGCUGAUCCUGAACUCAUCAAAUACCUAAAUAAUGUGGUGGAUCAACUAAAAGAAUGGUUAUAAAAAUGUUCUGUUCAGAAACUGGUGGUAGUCAUCUCAAGUAUUGAAAGCAGUGAGGUCCUUGAAAGCUGGCAGUUUGAUAUUGAGUGUGAGAAGACUGCAAAAGAUGACAGUUAAGUAAGAAAUGAUUUUUGCUCUGAUAAGCCUUUUCCAGAAACUUGUUUUCGUUACAAAAUGAGUUCUAAAUGUAUUGAACUAGUUUCAUGUAAAGUAAAUUACAUAAAGUGUUUCUGUCAGUUUAAUUUAAUCUUCAAUCUCCUGUGGAAAAGAAUUGUGCUCAAUUUAGCACAUCAUGGAUUUGUGUAGAUGGUAUUCUCUUAACUUAAUGCCCUGAGUUUAUAGCAUCGAGUUCUAAAUUUUAAUGUUUAUGGUGGUGUUUUCAGAACUCUACAAGACACACUAGAUGGGGCAUUUCAGGAAUGUACUUAUAUCUAAGGGGUUUUCUUAGACUCUUCCCUAGCUAGAGAUGUGACUCUGCUUUAUUUCCUUUAAUGUCAUGAACUUGCUAAGUCAUGUGACAAUAAAUGAUAUGAUGCUGAUCUUAAUAGAUGACUGAAAGGAUAAAUGAAAUACAUAAGGAUAUUAAAAUUAUGCCUCCUAGGCUGUAGGUCCUAAAAUACUUUUAUUCGUUAUUUUUUAAACUCUUCUUAUUGCAUUACGCAUUUGAUUUCAGAAGCACUUAAGCAGGUAAAUACUCUUGGUUACUGAGAAGUUUUAAAUAACUUGUGGAAACCUGAAAUGCGUGAAUAGAUUUGGUUUCUUCCUAGUGCAGCCAGAGCAAAGUCUCAGAAAACUAUCCAAGAUGAGAUACGUUCAGUGAUCAGACAGAUCACGGCUACAGUAACAUUUCUGCCGCUGUUGGGAGUUUCCUGUUCAUUUGAUCUACUGAUUUACACAGAUAAAGAUUUGGUUUUACCUGAGAAAUGGGAAGAAUCAGGACCACAGUUCAUUAUCAGUUCUGAGGAAGUCCGUCUUCGUUCAUUCACUACUACAAUCCACAAAGUAAAUAGCAUGAUGGCAUACAAAACUCCGGUCAAUGGCUGAGGGAUGAGCUGAGAAAAAUAAUGUACUUGGCAAUUCUCAUAUGUGUUUUCCUGAAAGGAAGUCAACUACAAGUUGAUAUUUUUAUUUCACUGGUGAAUUUUUAGGUGGGGAAACAACAUUAUACCCUCCUGAAGUGUGCAUCAUCCAUUUUUUGUACCUGUUUAGUGUUCCAUGGAGUUGACAUCAUGAAUUUGAGGAGAUGAUGGCAUUAUCCCUUCACUAAUGUAUUUGGCUAAAUAGAUGAGCACAAAAGCAUAUUGCACGUUGUCCAAAAGGGAAUCAGUGUUCUAAUGUCAGUUCUUUUGAAGGUGGCAACGGUAGUUGGAAAAACUUUCAGUAGAAAGCUAAAUAACUUGCUAAAUCAGACAUUUUGGUCAAGUAGCUUGAGUCAGAAUAUAGGUAGGGUGAUAUUUAAUUGUAAAUUACUGCAAAAAUAGUCUGACUAUUCAGAAUCUUUGUUUAGAUCCUGAAAAUAAUAUAAUCCAUAAGUCAAGAAAUAUUGAGGUCCGUCCAGCAUUUUUUUAGAUCUUGAGUUCCCAUGUUGAAAAAAUUUCCAAUUAUUUGACUUUAUAUAACUUUACCUAUGAAGCUUUGAAUGUUUCUACUGUUUAAUUUCCUGUGAUAGAGAACUCUUUGAAAAUGUCCUUUUAUGUUUGAUAAAAUCAAGCUUUUAAUGACAAUGGUGAAAUAAAGUUAAAUUUGUGUGUUUUAAAUUUGUCUUAAAAUGUUUUGAUACUGGUGUUAAAUGGUAGGUGAGAUGGGUUCAGUAUUGCAAAUGAUUUUUUUGUGUCACCUAGGCUAUAGGUCCAAAGCAUACAAAGACGAGGAAAUCUUGAGGUACCUUGUAUCUAUUGUGUUUGGUUAUACCACUUUAAUCUCAUAAUAAUCGACUUAAAAUCAACAUUGAUUGUUUGUAUAACAAGAGAUAUGCCUUUCGGAAUUAGUUCAGUUUAGCAAAUGUUGGAUUAUAGUACCUUUAGGAGUCCCUGGGUGGCGCAAAAAAUUAAGCACUGGACUAGUAACGAAAAGUUUGGUGGUUCAAACUCACCUACAGGCAACUGAUAACUAAGGCCUGGCAAUCUGCUUUCAAAAUUUCAGAGCCUUGAAAAAUAUGGAGCAGUUCUACUGUGUGCACGAUGGGUUGCCAUGAGGCAAAAUCAACUCGAGGGCAACUAACAAUAACAACAAAGUGCCUUUCUACACUCUUAGCCUUACCUUCUUGACUUAUGUGUAAGAUUUCUCACAAUAUCCUUAAUACGGCCUUUUUUUUACUCUCAGCUUCGUUAUCUUUGUAUACUUAUACAGCUUGCUUAUCCCUGUGCCUGCAUUAAUACUAUCAUCAGGUGUGUUCUAUCUAGUUCUCACCUAUUUUUCCAAGGUCAAUUUAUUGCGAACUUCAAAGAAAUCUUUUAUAAUCUAUUCUUAAUCUCACCUCUUUUGUAGUAAGUAAAUUUAUUACGUAGCUACAAUGUCCAUUUGACACUG